rnacentral:rRNA from 1 species
AACGAACGCUGGCGGCAGGCUUAACACAUGCAAGUCGAACGCAUCCUUCGGGGUGAGUGGCAGACGGGUGAGUAACGCGUGGGAACGUGCCCUUCAGUUCGGGAUAACCCAGGGAAACUUGGGCUAAUACCGGAUACGUGCGAGAGCAGAAAGAUUUAUCGCUGAUGGAUCGGCCCGCGUCUGAUUAGCUAGUUGGUGGGGUAAUGGCCCACCAAGGCGACGAUCAGUAGCUGGUCUGAGAGGAUGAUCAGCCAUAUUGGGACUGAGACACGGACCAGACUACUACGGGAGACAGCAGUGGGGAAUAUUGGACACUGGGCGCAGGCCUGAGCCAGCCAUGCCGCGUGAGUGGUGAGGGCCUUAGGGUUGUGAAGCUCUUUCGUCCGGGACGAUACUGACGGUACCGGAAGAAGAAGCCCCGGCUAACUUCGUGCCAGCAGCCGCAGUAA